rnacentral:rRNA from 1 species
UCCAGUUGAUCCUGCUGGAGGGUACUGCUAUCAGAGUUCGAUUAAGCCAUGCAAGUCUACUCAUUCACUUGGAUGGGUGGCGUACGGCUGAGUAACACGUAGUCAACCUAACUUAAGGAGGGGGAAAACGUCGGGAAACUGACGCUAAUACCAUAUAGAUGAUGGAUGGCGUAACACUUCAUCAUCGAAACGGCGUGCGAAUUGGAGCACGUCCGCCUUAGGAUGGGACUGCGGCGGAUUAGGUAGUUGGUGAGGUAACGGCUCACCAAGCCGAUAAUCUGUAGGGGCCAUGGGAGUGGUGGCCCCCAGAAGGACACUGAGACAAGGGUCCUAGCCCUACGGGGUGCAGCAGGCGCGAAACCUUCACAAUGCGCGAAAGCGUGAUGAGGGGACUCUGAGUGGUAUUAGCUUUGCUAAUAUCUUUUGCCAACUAUAAAUAGGUUGGAGAAUAAGGGUGUGGGCAAGACUGGUGGCAGCCGCCGCGGUAACACCAGCGCCUCGAGUGGUAUCCACGAAUAUUGGGUCUAAAGCGCCCGUAGCCGGUUUGAUAAGUCUUCUGUGAAAUGGUGGGGCUUGACCUUACCGCGUGCAGAAGAUACUGUUAAACUUGGGAGCGGGGGAGGGCAGGAGUACUCCUGGGGUAGGGGUAAAAUCCGCUGAGCCUAGGAGGACUUCCAGUGGCGAAGGCGCCUGUCCAAAACGCGUCCGACGGUGAGGGACGAAAGCGAGGGGAGCGAACGGGAUUAGAUACCCCGGUAGUCCUCGCUGUAAAUGAUGCUGACUGUGGUGUUACGCCGGAGUAAUCCGGCGUAGUGCUGUAGGGUAGCUGUUAAGUCAGCCACCUGGGGAGUACGGCCGCAAGGUUGAAACUUAAAGGAAUUGGCGGGGGAGCACCACAAGGGGUGGAUGCUACGGUUCAAUUGGAUACAACACCGGGAACAUCACCAUCGGCGACGGCAGAAUGAAGCUCAGGCUAAAGACCUUGGCUAACGAGCCGAGAGGUAUUGCAUGGCCAUCGUCAGCUCGUGUGUGAAUUGUCCUGUUAAGUCAGGCAACGAGCGAGACCCAUACCCUUAGUUACCAACUCUAUCUCCGGAUAGGGCGUACUCUAAGGGGACUGCCCGUGCUAAAUGGGAGGAAGGAGUGGGCGACGGUAGGUCAGUAUGGUCCGAAACCGAUGGGCUACACGCGGCAUACAGUGGGCGAGACAACGGGCUGCAACUCCGAGAGGAGAAGCUAAUCCUUUAAACUCGUUCGUGGUUCGGAUUGAGGGUUGAAACUCACCCUCAUGAAGAUGGAAUCCCUAGUAAUCGUGGUUCAUCAAGCCACGGUGAAUGUGUCCCCGCUCCUUGCACACACCGCCCGUCAAGUCACCCAAAUGUUUUUUCGGUGAGACCUGGGUUAUUGCCUAGUUCGAACCGAAAGGGCGUGAGGGGGGCUAAGUCGUAACAAGGUA